AUUGGAAGUGGUUCCAAGAAAAGCCUCUAAGCUUCAGCUGUACGAGACCGUACCGCAAACCGACACAGGUGGACGGGAUGAAUAUUCCAAGGCGCUUGAGAGAACUCGGGAGAAGGAACUCGGCAAAUUGAUACCGUAACUUCGGGAGAAGGUAUGCCCCGGUAGUGUGAGGCGCCUGCGCGCUGAGCAUGAUGGGGUCGCAGAGAAUCGGUGGCUGCGACUGUUUAUUAAAAACACAGCACUCUGCAAAGACGAAAGUCGACGUAUAGGGUGUGACGCCUGCCCGGUGCCGGAAGGUUAAGUGAUGGGGUGCAAGCUCUUGAUCGAAGCCCCGGUAAACGGCGGCCGUAACGAUAACGGUCCUAAGGUAGCGAAAUUCCUUGUCGGGUAAGUUCCGACCUGCACGAAUGGCGUAACGAUGGCCACACUGUCUCCUCCCGAGACUCAGCGAAGUUGAAGUGUUUGUGAUGAUGCAAUCUACCCGCGGCUAGACGGAAAGACCCCAUGAACCUUUACUGUAGCUUUGCAUUGGACUGUGAACCGGCCUGUGUAGGAUAGGUGGGAGCGCGGAAACCGAGUCGCUAGAUUCGGUGGAGCCAACCUUGAAAUACCACCCUGGUCUGUUUGCGGUUCUAACCUUGGCCCGUUAUCCGGGUUGGGGACAGUGCAUGGUGGGCAGUUUGACUGGGGCGGUCUCCUCCCAAAGCGUAACGGAGGAGUUCGAAGGUACGCUAGGUACGGUCGGAAAUCGUGCUGAUAGUGCAAUGGCAUAAGCGUGCUUGACUGUGAGACUGACAAGUCGAACAGGUGCGAAAGCAGGACAUAGUGAUCCGGUGGUUCUGAAUGGAAGGGCCAUCGCUCAACGGAUAAAAGGUACUCUGGGGAUAACAGGCUGAUACCGCCCAAGAGUUCAUAUCGACGGCGGUGUUUGGCACCUCGAUGUCGGCUCAUCUCAUCCUGGGGCUGUAGCCGGUCCCAAGGGUAUGGCUGUUCGCCAUUUAAAGAGGUACGUGAGCUGGGUUUAAAACGUCGUGAGACAGUUUGGUCCCUAUCUGCCGUGGGCGUUGGAUACUUGACGGAGCCUGCUCCUAGUACGAGAGGACCGGAGUGGACGUACCUCUGGUGUACCGGUUGUCAUGCCAAUGGCAUUGCCGGGUAGCUAUGUACGGAAGAGAUAACCGCUGAAGGCAUCUAAGCGGGAAACUCGUCUGAAGAUUAGGUAUCCCGGGGCCUCGAGCCCCCUGAAGGGUCGUUCAAGACCAGGACGUUGAUAGGUCGGGUGUGGAAGCGCAGUAAUGCGUUAAGCUAACCGAUACUAAUUGCCCGUGCGGCUUGAUGAA
rnacentral:rRNA from 1 species